CGCCCGUAGCACCUAUUGCGGGUACCGCCUGCCCACUGAUUUUUAACGGCCGCAGUAUCUUGACUGUGCAAAGGUAGCAUAAUCACUUGUCCCCUAAUUAGGGGCUGGAAUGAAUGGAUUGACGUGGUGGGAGCUGUCUCAGCAAUUACUUGAAACUUAAUCUUUAAGUUAAAAAGCUUAAAUUUUAUCGCAGGACGAGAAGACCCCAUAGAUCUUUAUAUAGAAAACUCCACACCCCCUUGACGUUAAACCCGGGGAGCUUCAAUAUAUUUAGUUGGGGUGACGCGAAGUCAUAAACACUUCUUACUGGCACAAUAAUUUUAGGUUUAAUGACCCGGCUAGCCGAUCAAAAAAUCAAGUUACCUUGGGGAUAACAGCGUAAUCUGUCCUAAGAGUCCUUAUCAAACGACAGGUUUGCGA
rnacentral:rRNA from 1 species